GGGGAAUAUUGGACAAUGGGCGAAAGCCUGAUCCAGCGGCGCCGCGUGGGUGAAGAAGGCCUGCGGGUUGUAAAGCCCUUUCGGUGGGGAAGAAAAGCCUCGAGUUAAUACCUCGGGGUCUUGACGUAACCCAUAGAAGAAGCACCGGCUAACUCUGUGCCAGCAGCCGCGGUAAUACAGAGGGUGCGAGCGUUAAUCGGAAUUACUGGGCGUAAAGCGCGCGUAGGCGGCCCGGUCAGUCUUUGGUGAAAGCGCGGGGCUCAACCCUGCGUCGGCCAGGGAUACUGCCGCGGCUCGAGCACUGUAGAGGCAGGCGGAAUUCCGGGUGUAGCGGUGGAAUGCGUAGAGAUCCGGAAGAACACCGGUGGCGAAGGCGGCCUGCUGGGCAGUUUGGCUGACACUGAGGCGCGACAGCGUGGGGAGCAAAC
rnacentral:rRNA from 1 species